UUAAGUUCAGCGGGUAGUCCUACCUGAUUUGAGGUCAAGUAUUCAAGAAGUCGUCUCACAGACAGAGACAAUUAGAAGCUGAACAACACAGAGAGCAAUCCCCUCGCCAGUGUAGAUAGUUUAUCACACUUGUGGCAGAUCGCAAACGGUUCCGCUAAUGCAUUUCAGAGGAGCUGACCCCAAACAAGUGGCCAGCAAGC
rnacentral:misc_RNA from 1 species